GCUUGAACUUUUUCUUUUCUUGUUCUGUCCGUGUUAAGAUUAGUGUUUAUUUGCUACUCUUUUAACUCUGCGGCGUCGCUUUCAUUUUCUUAUUGUUGAGUUCUUGAUCGUUGUGCUAUACUUUUUCUGCAGUGAAGUAAUAACGCUAACUGAGGCCCUUGGCAAAAUAAUCGAGUGUGGGGCCUGUGGUCACGGCCCCUCGGUCAAAUUGGGGCCACUCUUGGGUCAGGCGGCCCUUAGGAUUUUGGCGGCUUAGUAUAGUUACUCUACUGUUUGUCAUUGAGUGCGAAAUGUUUGUUCUAAGUUAGCAUUCUAUUCUGUCCAGCUUUCGAUUUCGUAGUGUUUCUAAAGUUGUAUAUUCCCAGCUGUGCCCGCCUCACGUGACCACUGCCAUACAAGAGCCGGGCACAGAGUGGUAUGAUUUAUAUGUAGCGCCUAUUCCCAUCUGUGCCCGGCGGGGACAGAUGGGAAUACACCUUUCCAAAUAUCAUGGAGCUGGGAAAUAUUAAUAAUCUAACCUGUAUUUGUUGCUAUUAAUUAUAAAAAAAUUACGAAACAGUGUUAUUGAUACAUGUCUUGUAUGAUUAAUAAUGUUUUAUUAUAAUGGUUGUGAAUUUAUUGGUUGUUAUAUGUUGAAGUUGUAGUUUCUGAAAGGUAACAUCACAUGGUCAAAAACUUCAACCCCAUGAACACAGGCAAGCACAAAGUACCAUCAAUAAUCCUCGAUAAGUUGCCUGGCUGUUUGCAGUGCAUUUAAACCUAUCAGUAUUUAUUCUAUAUCUGAAACUAAUUCACAUUAAAAAUGUGACCGUCGCAAGUCCGUUUCACCUGAAAUAGAAAAACCUGUUAUAAAGUGUUCAGUCAGUUCUGCCCUGACAGGUCUUGGUUGCUUGCUCGCUAAUAGGGUUUGCAUGAUCGAUCUGAAAUGUUUGGGAAGAUCCGCAGUUCCAAAUCUGGAUGGUUUCAUACAUUUCGGAACCGGAUUGCAGACCCUAUCCACUAGCUUAGGAAUAAUGGAUUGUUUCGGAUUUUUGCAUUAAUGAAAAUAUUAAUUACUAAUGUGAAAGCACACUGACAAUUUGGGUUGGGUUUUGGGUUUUUAUAUUUCAAAAAAAUCCUCAAUAUCUAGGAGUACAUUUGGAGCAUUCGAAAUGAAGACCUAUGAAGUAUAUGGCAGCAAACACCCAGAGACUGUGACACGGUAAUGGAUAUGGAUUGGACAUACUAUACGAAGAGGGGAAACGAAUGACCCUACAUUUUGAUUGGAAAUUGUUGGAUGGAAGCUGUGGCUCAGGGUGUUCUAUACACUCAUGGCAAUGGUCCAUCAUAAGUGAGCUAUGAGUGGUUGGGUUGAGCUGGAGCGAGGCCAGAAGGGUCGCUGAAAAUAGGAUGGUGCAGUGCGGGCUUGUGAAGGCCCUGUGCACCUCUUGGGUGCCUUAGGACAACUAGAACAACCUUUGGAGUUCCCUAUCCGAGUCAAUUCCGUCCUCCAAGCUAUUGUUUGGUUACUCAUUAGCUUAGGAAUAGACAAUUGAUUUGGGUAGUUAUAUUAAAAGAAAUGGUCAAUAACUUUAACCUCAUAUUACAUAAGAAAGCUCAAUGUACCAUUCAUAUUAAUAUUAAGUAAUUAAUUACUGCAGCCUCUUGCAGUGCAAUUAAAUCUCAGAAUUUAUUUUUUAUCCAAAAUGUAUUUACUUACUCUAAAAUUGUCAUUUUUAAGGCUCGCUCAACUGAGUAUAAGUUUUGCACAGCUAUCUCACAAUUACAAGCAGUUGUAAUAAAAUUAUCUAAAAACAAGCUGGAGUGUCCAGCUCUUGUUUGAUUAAUUCGGGUUGUGAUAUAAUAAUAAUAAAAGAACUAAACUGGGAGCACCUUUGGAGAUCCCUAUUUGAGUCAGUUCUGCCCUGACAGCUCGCUUGCUGUUUGGGAGCUUAGGGAUAGAGGGUUGUUUCGGGAUGUUAAAAAAAAAGAAUGACUUCAAUAACCAAGGCUUUGGAAUACGGAUAUUUGAGUCAGUUCUGCCGUAACAGGUCUUGUUAGCUCGCUGUGAGGUAUGUUUUGGGUACAUUGUUAUAUUUUUAAAAACUUAUUUUUUUAAAAGUUUAUUCUGCAAGUAAGCCUCAAGGGGCUCUUUCACAAGUCAAUACAACAUUUAUAGGCCUAUCAAAUUAGAUGCAUACGCGAAGGCUUGACGUACAAUAAAUACUGUGAUCCAUCAGUAUGGUGAAUACUAAAUUUAUUUCUUGUACUACUAUAGCUACUCGUGUUAUUUUUUUGUUUGGCAGCAAAAAUGUUUUUUGUUGGUUUGGCACCGCCUUCAAAAACGUAAGUAAUUACCAGGAUGGGUAUUAAUUUUCUUAUGAUUAGGUAUAACUUAAUUUUUGACAGAAAUUUGCAUUAGGACGGGAUAGGGACUGGACAAGGAUAGGAGUGGGGUACUUAUGUAAAAAUUAUAUUGUGCUUUUCUGUGGGUUCGUUUUUUAAAGGCGGUUCCCUUUUUAUUAAUGAUAUGACUUUAAGUUAUUCUGUUGUUGUUUUUUUUUACGUUUUACUGAUAGGUACUUCAUUUAUUUUACGUUUUUUAUUAUCUUAUUUAUUUUAUUUUAUUAUUUUUAACUUUUUAGUGAUAGGUACGUUUUGAGUUUGUUUAUAGUUAGGUUAGGUUUUUUACGAAUAAAGAGGAGAGUUAUUCACGAGCCACCAGGAGAAAAUCCUGCAUCGGACGACUGGGAAUGGAGGGCCCAGACAGUGCCGGACUCUUACCGGCUAAAACCCAGUUUUUCGUUUGUACCUUCCUGGUUCCCCCGACAUGGGUAAGAUGCCGAACUCUGAAGAAGAGUGGUUGGAAAUUGCUGAUGGUUUUGAAAAGAAAUAUAUGCGUAAGUACAUAAGUUGUUAUGUGACCAGAGGGAGUCCCGAAAAAUAUACAUAAAAAAGUCAAAUAUACAUCAAACAUUCAUGAAAUGAAAGUUCAUGAAAAGGAAUUAUAAAUAAAAAAAAAAAAUAAAAAAUAAAAAAAAAAAAAAUCAUUUAUUUCAGACAACACUGUUACACAGGGUCCAUAUGUUACAAAAAAAACUAAAACUAUGACCUAAGCCUAUACUUAUAAAAUAAAUGGCCUCCUUGGUCCCCACCCUCCCUGCUCGCCUCUCCGAUUAGGUUGUACAGUCAGCGUCAAAUACCUUGCUGCAGUCAAAGCGGCCAAACAGUUCGGUACACCAUACUAAAUAUAUGGUGUACCGAACUAUUUGGCCACCCUGGUUGCUACAAAGUAUUUGACGCUGACUGUACAUGCAGAUCAGUGAACCGGGCAAGGACGGCAGAGUCCAGCCUAUCUGCUAUCAUCUUUAGGAUCCCGUUUCCGCUCGCCCACAUUCGCCGUACAAUGGACGCCGACUUUUUCCGCAUUAUUGCAUAAAAAUCAUCAACCGCUGCGUCAGCGAACAUUCCCGAAGCGCUACAACAGCGGGGGAGCCGAAACAGGGCCCUAAAGACAUUAUUAUAUUGCACUCUCAAUGCAUUAUACGCUCUCUGACUAAAGUGUACCCAUAAACCACUUGUAUAGAAACUUUGGCAAUAAGCAGUAAAAAGAGUUAGUUUUACAGGCACAGAACAACGCGUAAAUCUAUGAGCCAACAUAUUUCCUCGCACAGACAAAGACCUACGUUCUCGUUCCAAGUCCUUGUCAUCUUUGAGAUCAUCAGUCAAUAUAUGGCCCAAAUAUUUGAACUGUGACACCUGCUUGAUAGGCAUAUUGCUUAAGAGAAGUGGUGGAAUGUAAUAAGAAAAUUUAUUUUUACCUUUAAAAAUCAUGAACUCACUUUUCCUAACAUUAUACUUCAAGCCAUGUGUCUCAGCAUAUAAUAUACAUACAUUAUACAUACAUUCAUGAAAUUUAAAAUUUUGCUUACGAAGUUUGCAUCUAGUUUUGUUGCAUUGUGGGCGGAAAUAUUUUAGGUUUUCCUGUAAAUCCCUAGAGUCAGACCAAGCUAAGUUGGCAGCGAUUUCGAUAGUUCAGACAGUGCUAGUGUUAAGUAAACGUCAUAAGUUUGACGUUUAUAAUGAGUUUCACUCUCUGGGCUCUUGAAAUCGCUGCCAACCCCCCGCAUUUCGCACCCCGCGACCCGCUCGGCUCUACAAUACACCGCGAGGCUCAACACGACCGCGCGGCCUGUCCGUAGACCAUAUUCCGAGAAAACGCGCCCGCUCGCUUUGGUUUUAGAACAAUGAAACCCGUAGAAUCUAACUAUGGUAUAAUCGUUAUAUCGCAACUAAAGGUUGAACACGCCAAAACUGGGGCACACAAAAUGUAGUACAAAAUUAUAAUAAAAGUGAAAAAGUAUAUUAUGUUUUACACAUUUAAUAGCAUAUUUAACGCUGUUUAAAAUAACAUUCCAUAUUUUAGAUUUGGUCUACACAGUAAGCCAUUUUUCUAACUUUCCUACGUACACGGCUCAUAAGACUUUGCACCAUGUUAAUAGAACACUGUCUUGACGCCCAUGUCCACAUCUUUUGUAGUUCAGGGACCGAUUUUACUCCGCCGCCUUUCUUUUUUAAAAUUCCCUUCAUAAUACUCCAGUACUCUUCAACGGGCCGCAGUUCCGGACUAUUUGGGGGGUUGCACACUUUUGGUACCACCACGAUCCCAUUUGCAGCAUACCAUUCCAUCACUGGUUUUGAGUAGUGGCAACUGGCUAAAUCUGGCCAAAACAAAGGUGGUGAGUCAUGCUUUCUUAUGAAAGGUAGCAAACGUUUCUGCAAACACUCUUUUCUAUAAAUAUCGCCGUUUAUUGUCCCGGUAGUAAUAAACGGCCGACUUCUUUUCCCACAGCUACAUAUUGCUUGCCAAAGCAGGUACUUUUUUAGAAAUUUCGAACGUUUUUUUAAUUAACACUCUUCAGGGGCGUCUACUCUACUUAGGCUGGUAUAGAACUCUUGCCCAGGAAUUUGUUUAAAGUCACCUUUUAUGUAUGUUUCGUCGUCCAUGACGACGCAUGCAAAUUUGGUUAUGAAAUUCUCAUAAAGUUUUCGAGACCGUUUCUUCGCGGAUGAGUUCUGUUUCGAGUCUCGAUCUGGUGCUGCCUGGGCCUUAUAACUCCUUAGGCCAGCCCUACGUUUCACUUUUUGAACAUAGGACUGAGACAUUUUAACUUUUUUAGCAACAUCGCGAGACGAAAUCUUAGGAUUUGAGGCAAACAUGUUCACCACCUUCUCGUCCUUUUUUUUAUUCUUGACACCCUGCAAGCCUCCACUUCCUGGCUUCCGAUCUAU